GUUGUCGUGGCCGAGUGGUUAAGGCGAUGGACUUGAAAUCCAUCGGGGUUUACCCGCGCAGGUUCAAAUCCUGCCGAUAACG
rnacentral:tRNA from 1 species